AGUUACCAAGCCAAAAGGGCACAUUCAUGUCUCCAUCCAACUCAUCUUCGUCUACCUUCAACACACAUCAAUUGGUUGAUGUAGAUAAAGUUUCAUCUUGUGUAAGUAUGCUAAAAGGUACAUUACAGCGCAAGAAACUCGAAUGCCAAGUCGAGAAAGAAGCUGCAGAAGAUGGCUUGAAUGAAAUAUUUUGCAUUCGAGAACCUCUUUUCCAAUCAGCUUUUAAUGAAGAAGAAAGUUGGAAUCAACAAAAGCUAGUAAACGUUCAAGGAGAUUUUACCGAUCAAGUUAACGAUCCCGGAGUCAUGCAAACCCUUGAAGGAACCACAAACUUUGUCUUAGAUGGUUUUGCAAAUCAGACGAACCAAAUACAAGGCAGAACAGCUUCUGGAGAAC
rnacentral:lncRNA from 1 species